GCUGGGCAUGGUGGUGCACGCCUAUAAUCCUAGUGACUUGGGAGGUUGAGAUUAGAGGAUUGCAAGUUCAAGGCCAGCCACAGCAACUCAGCGAGGCCCUAAACAACUUAGCAAGAACCUGUCUCAA
rnacentral:sRNA from 1 species